UUCCUUAGUUUUAUCUGAAGAUGUUUCUUUCUCGCUUUUAGAAAGGUAGCGUGACAAUGAGGUAUAAUAAUCACGACUUGUUUCCUCAAAAUCUUUCUUUUUCGUAGAUACAUUUUUUAUAUCAGUAUCAUAAAUUUUACGCAAAGGCUCAAUAAGAAAGUUUCUUAGCAAACGAGCACGAUCAAUAUUAAAGGAAUCGAAAGAUUGAGCAGCUGCAGCAUAAUAAUGGUCUAAGAAGGGUUUAAAUGCGGGCGGGUUAAUGGUAGCAACACGUUCAAAUGCUGACAUGAGCUCUUUAUAAGACAUAUAUAGUAGACCAUGAGAAUGUGCUACGUGCUCGAUACGUUUUAUUAACUUUUUCAAAACCAUGCGCAUAUCAUGAGUAGUUCGCUCAUAAUUAAGAAUGGUAGCACGAAACAGAGGACCAUCUUCGGGUUCGGUUUGGUCAAUAUCUCUUGCGACUGGAUUCGUGAGAGGAGGAGAAUUGAUAGGAAGGGGAUCUACGUUACCGGAUAAAGGUGGAGCAUCAGAUAUUUCUGGACUAGUUGCAGUUUCCUCUGCAAGAUGCAUGGGCAUUGGGAAAGGAGUAGCAGGAGUUGAGUCUUGAUCUGAUUCUGUAACGUAAAACUGAAAAGUUUUUAAAGGAACCAAGCAAUUUAAACGUUUAUCGUAUUCGGCAAACUGCAUAUUUAGUACAAAUUGGACAACUCAAUACGAACUCAAGGAACUUACGCAUAGAUAAAUUGGUGAGCCGCCAUUUCUAAAGUAUAAGGUAUGUAACGAUUGAUUAGACCAGGUCCAUUCAAUCUUUUUAGAAUUUUCAUUCGAAUGGAAUUCAAUAUUGCCGAUUAAAAAGACUUGAUGAUUGUUUUGGAACUGAAUCAAAAGUUAGUAAUACCGCUAAAAGUAAAAAUCAUUUCUGAAAAAAGAGAUUCUAAUAAAGGAAAAGAAAACCAUCAUUUUUUUAGACUUCUUAUUUCAAUCAUAACCAAAGACAUACAUUCGCAUCACUAGAAAAUUCGCGCGUGAUUAGCCUAUCGAGUUGUUGAGGUGAAGUACCAUAUACGCAUGUAAGGUUGGUGACAUCUCGUUUUCCCUCUUGUGCAUGAAAUUCUAGCUGAAAGCGAAGAGUCAAUCCGUCUUCCUCUUCAACUUUAACUAUAGGACCCUCCUCUUCACGUAGCUGAAGAUGUGUUAGCAUGUUUGACGAACGGCAAACCUUCAUACCUGGAUAAAUUCAAUUGGUUCAUUGUUCUUUCGGGAAUAACUGUAUUUUGAGUAUUCAGGAGAUUUCGAUACAUUAUGAACCUGCAAACUGGCAUUGUCAUUUGCUGAGCCAAAGGUAACCGACUGAAUCUUUACUUUAGCAGAGUUAGAUCAUCUGUAGUUCACACGAAAAUUUAAAAAAAGUACAUACAUCUCUCAAAAUGAACAGGAUCGACAUGCCCAGUCAUCUCGCGUACUUGAGUUUUCGCAAGCUGUACAACUUAAAGCGCUGUAUGCGAUGAGUAGAACAAAGCAAAUUGUAACAGGAAAAAGAGAAAAACCGAGCUAAAAACUCUCGAAUAAGAAAAACAAG
rnacentral:lncRNA from 1 species